rnacentral:lncRNA from 1 species
UUGGAUGUGGCUAUAAUUAUUUGAUGUCUUUGCUCUUCAAGAUAAUAUAAUUGUGCAUUUGUGUGUUGCUUGAUUCUAAAUGUCCAAGGGAAUUCUGGGUUUCUAUUGACAUUCUUGUCUAUUGGAUUGCUACCCAUUUGGUCAUGCUUGAUUCUAAAUGUCCAAGGGAAUUCUGGGUUUCUAUUGACAUUCUUGUCUAUUGGAUUGCUACCCAUUUGGUCAGAUCUUUUCAACUCUUAACUUUUAAUUUUG